rnacentral:rRNA from 1 species
GUCUACGGCCAUGCCACUCUGAACAAGCCCGACAUCUGAACUCGGAAGCCAAGCAGGGUCAGGCCUGGUUAGUACUUGGAUGGGAGACCAUCUAGGAAGACCAAGUGCUGUCGGAG